CACGCCGUAAACGAUGAACACUACUAGCCUGAGGUUUCGACCCCUUGGGUUAGGCAGCUAACGCGAUAAGUGUUCCGCCUGGGGAGUACGAACGCAAGUUUAAAACUCAAAGGAAUUGACGGGGACCCGCACAAGCAGUGGAGUGUGUCGUUUAAUUCGACGCUAAGCGGAGAACCUUACCAAGGCUUGACAUGUAGCGAAUCUUGACGAAAGUUAAGAGUGCUAGUUUACUAGAGCGCUAACACAGGUGA
rnacentral:rRNA from 1 species